rnacentral:rRNA from 1 species
UACGAAGGGUGCAAGCGUUAAUCGGAAUUACUGGGCGUAAAGGGUGCGUAGGCGGUUGUUUAAGUCUGUCGUGAAAUCCCCGGGCUCAACCUGGGAAUGGCGAUGGAUACUGGGCAGCUAGAGUGUGUCAGAGGAUGGUGGAAUUCCCGGUGUAGCGGUGAAAUGCGUAGAGAUCGGGAGGAACAUCAGUGGCGAAGGCGGCCAUCUGGGACAACACUGACGCUGAAGCACGAAAGCGUGGGGAGCAAGCAGG